rnacentral:sRNA from 1 species
AAUUAGUUAUAUAAAAUGUAUAUGUAGAUAUUUAUUUUGUUAAUAUUGUUUGUUUUGUUUAGUGUUUAAGAUAAUGUAUAUAUAGAUUUUAAUUGUUAUAUCUAGGAUUUCACCCGUAUUAUAUCGUUUCGUAUUACUAUCGAUCCAAACCCAUCAUACUAUCUAAUCCUGCACAGUGAAAUUAAACAUAUCUAAUAGAUUUCACUUGUGGUAUACCGUCUCGUAAUACUAUCGACCAAACCCGUCCUACCACUAACUCCGUUCAGUAAAAUUAUAUAUUAUUUUGUUAUUUUUGUUUUAAUA